CUACGGGGCGCUGCAGUGAGGAAUAUUGCACAAUGGGGGGAACCCUGAUGCAGCAACGCCGCGUGGAGGAUGACGCAUCUCGGUGUGUAAACUCCUUUUAUAUGUCAAGAAAAUGACGGUAGCAUAUGAAUAAGCACCGGCUAACUCCGUGCCAGCAGCCGCGGUAAUACGGAGGGUGCAAGCGUUACUCGGAAUCACUGGGCGUAAAGGACGCGUAGGCGGGCUUGUAAGUCAGGUGUGAAAUCCUACAGCUUAACUGUAGAACUGCACUUGAAACUACGAGCCUAGAGUAUGGGAGGGGGAGAUGGAAUUAGUGGUGUAGGGGUAAAAUCCGUAGAUAUCACUAGGAAUACCUAAAGCGAAGGCGAUCUCCUGGAACAUAACUGACGCUAAGGCGUGAAAGCGUGGGGAGCAAACAGGAUUAGAUACCCUAGUAGUC
rnacentral:rRNA from 1 species